AUUGAACGCUGGCGGCAUGCUUUACACAUGCAAGUCGAACGGUAACAGGUUAAGCUGACGAGUGGCGAACGGGUGAGUAACGCAUCGGCACGUGCCCGAUCGUGGGGGACAACCCAGCGAAAGCUGCGCCAAUACCGCAUAAGCUCCGAGGAAGAAAGCGGGGGACUUUACAGCAAUAUGAGGCCUCGCGCGAUCGGAGCCGCCGAUGUCAGAUUAGGUAGUUGGCGGGGUAAAGGACCACGAAGCCGACGAUCUGUAGCUGGUCUGAGAGGACGACCAGCCACACUGGGACUGAGACACGGCCCAGACUCCUACGGGAGGCAGCAGUGGGGAAUUUUGGACAAUGGGCGCAAGCCUGAUCCAGCAAUGCCGCGUGCAGGAAGAAGGCCUUCGGGUUGUAAACUGCUUUUGUACGGAGCGAAAAGGUCUUCUCUAAUAAAGAAGGCUGAUGACGGUACCGUAAGAAUAAGCACCGGCUAACUACGUGCCAGCCGCCGCAGUAAAAC
rnacentral:rRNA from 1 species